rnacentral:rRNA from 1 species
GACGAACGCUGGCGGCGUGCUUAACACAUGCAAGUCGAACGGAAAGGCCCUGCUUUUGUGGGGUGCUCGAGUGGCGAACGGGUGAGUAACACGUGAGUAACCUGCCCUUGACUUUGGGAUAACUUCAGGAAACUGGGGCUAAUACCGGAUAGGAGCUCCUGCUGCAUGGUGGGGGUUGGAAAGUUUCGGCGGUUGGGGAUGGUCUCGCGGCUUAUCAGCUUGUUGGUGGGGUAGUGGCUUACCAAGGCUUUGACGGGUAGCCGGCCUGAGAGGGGGACCGGCCACAUUGGGACUGAGGUACGGCGCAGAAGCCUACGGGAGGCAGCAGUGGGGAAUAUUGCACAAUGGGCGGAAGCCUGAUGCAGCAGCGCCGCGUGCGGGAUGACGGCCUGCGGGUUGUAAACCGCUUUCGCCUGUGACGAAGCGUGAGUGACGGUAAUGGGUAAAGAAGCAACGGCUAACUACGUG